AAUCUCAUUUAAGGGUUGGUAGUGGAGGGGAGAGUAUCUUACUGGAGAUAGCUGCAUACCUGGGGUCUUCUGAAGCUACUGGAUCUGCCACUUCUUCAGUCACCUUGUCAAGGACAAGUUACUGAUCCCACAUCACAACAGUGGAAUUUAUGAGAGGAGCAAAGAAAAUAACAAUUCCACAUCUUGAAGGAAAGAAGACAUUUGUCUGAAAGUCUGGCUUCAUUUUUGAGAUGGCAGCUGCUUGGAACUGUUGACAGAUUGAGAGUGUUGGAAAUUGUCCUGGGCCAGAUGGAUUAGUGAUCUAAGUUCAGUUGCCCACUGUUCCUGAUGGUCUGAGGAACAUCUCAGAAGUACAGCUUGGUUUGAAAAUAGUCCAGAAGAUCUGUCUGCUGUUCCUGAACUCCAUGUCAAACCAUGUCUCAACAGGAAGGCUGUAGUUUUCAAGG